rnacentral:rRNA from 1 species
CCUACGGGAGGCAGCAGUGGGGAAUAUUGCACAAUGGGGGAAACCCUGAUGCAGCGACGCCGCGUGAGUGAAGAAGUAUUACGGUAUGUAAAGCUCUAUCAGCAGGGAAGAAAUAGCGACCUUUGGGUCGCCAGACGGUACCUGAUUAAGAAGCCCCGGCUAACUACGUGCCAGCAGCCGCGGUAAUACGUAGGGGGCAAGCGGUAUCCGGAUUUACUGGGUGUAAAGGGAGCGUAGACGGCAGCGCAAGGCUGAAGUGAAAUGCCGGGGCUUAACCCCGGAACUGCUUUGGAAACUGGGCAGCUAGAGUGGAGGAGAGGUAAGUGGAAUGCCUGGGGUAGCGGUGAAAUGCGUAGAUAUUAGGAGGAACACCAGUGGCGAAGGCGGCUUACUGGACUGUAACUGACGUUGAGGCUCGAAAGCGUGGGGAGCAAACAGGAUUAGAUACCCUUGUAGUC